AGAAUCAACGCUGGCGGCGUGCCUAACACAUGCAAGUCGAACGAGAAAGGGGAGCAAUCCCUGAGUAAAGUGGCGACCGGGUGAGUAACACGUGACUAACCUACCCUCGAGUGUGGAAUAACAUCGGGAAACCGAUGCUAAUACCGCAUAACAUCGGCGCUUUUAAGAGAUGCCGAUCAAAGGAGCAAUCCGCUUGAGGAGGGGGUCGCGGCUGAUUAGCUAGUUGGCGGGGUAACGGCCCACCAAGGCGAAGAUCGGUAGCCGGCCUGAGAGGGCGCACGGCCACACUGGAACUGAAACACGGUCCAGACUCCUACGGAGGCAGCAGUGGGGAAUUUUGCGCAAUGGGGGAAACCCUGACGCAGCAACGCCGCGUGGAGGAUGAAGCCCCUUGGGGCGUAAACUCCUUUCGACCAAGACGAUAAUGACGGUACUGGUGGAAGAAGCACCGGCUAACUCUGUGCCAGCAGCCGC
rnacentral:rRNA from 1 species